GCUGGCCACUGAGCACGUGUGUGGGUGUCUCUCAGAAGAUGGUGUCUGUCACCACACACCAGCUGACCAGGCAACCACACACAGGAAGCCUUCACUCUUGCAGCACCAUGCUCUGAUCCACUCAACCCCACAUUCUCUUGUUUCCCGAGAAGGAGGCUUUUGGGAGAGGAGAUGUUUACUUACUGCACCUAGACCAUUGCCCA
rnacentral:lncRNA from 1 species